ensembl:lncRNA
AGAAGAUGUUGCUGACUGACUUGCUGCCUCCCUGUGGACCAACAAGACAUCACUGGAUCCCUGGUGGUUUCACUAAAUACCAAUUUAAGAGAGAAACUGGGAGAUUUCCAUAACCAGUAGCCAUAAGAAGCCUGACAAGGAAUGUUAAAAACAGUAAGUUCUAUACGUACAUUGAUCAGAAGAGACAGGUAAGCAACAGCCUACUUUCUCUGAUAAAUAUGAAAAAAAAGAACUGGCUACAACAGAUAUGGAGAAGGCUGAGGUACUUAAUGAGUCCUUUGCCUUAGUCUUCACUGACAGCCAGGAUUCUCAUAUUUCUCUCAUCCCUGAAUCUUACAUCCCUGAAAUUCUUCUACUCUAAGGGCAGAGCAAGCCUAAGAUCACCUUAUGAGGAUGAAGGUGUACAAGUUUGUGUGCAGAACAACAUGCAUCUCAGGGUACUAAGGAAGCUGACUGAAGUGGUCACUGAGCUGAUCUCCAUCAUAUAUGAAAAGUCAUGGCUGUCAGACGAAGAUCUCAGUGACUGGAAAAAGGGAAACUUCACUCCUACUUAAAAGAAUGGGAGGAAGGAAGACCCGGGGGAAUUACAGGCUGGUGAGCCUCACCUCUGUGCCUGCGAAGUUCAUAGAACAGAUCCUCUUAGAAGACAUGUUAAGACACAUGAGGGACAAGCAGGUGAUACAAAACAAUUAACAUGGCUUCACCAAGGGAAUUUUGUGCCUAACCAAUCUG